rnacentral:rRNA from 1 species
UACGGAGGGUGCAAGCGUUAAUCGGAAUUACUGGGCGUAAAGCGUGCGCAGGCGGUUCGUUGUGUCGGCGGUGAAAUCCCCGGGCUCAACCUGGGAAUGGCCGUUGAAACUGGCGAACUGGAGUGUGGCAGAGGGGGGUGGAAUUCCGCGUGUAGCAGUGAAAUGCGUAGAGAUGCGGAGGAACACCGAUGGCGAAGGCAGCCCCCUGGGCUGACACUGACGCUCAGGCACGAAAGCGUGGGGAGCAAACAGG